UACAGAGGGGGCUAGCGUUGUUCGGAAUUACUGGGCGUAAAGGGCGCGUAGGUGGCCUGUUAAGUCGAACGUGAAAUCCCCGGGCUCAACCCGGGAACUGCGUCCGAUACUGGUGGGCUUGAAUCCGGGAGAGGGAUGCGGAAUUCCAGGUGUAGCGGUGAAAUGCGUAGAUAUCUGGAGGAACACCGGUGGCGAAGGCGGCAUCCUGGACCGGUAUUGACGCUGAGGCGCGAAAGCCAGGGGAGCAAACGGG
rnacentral:rRNA from 1 species